rnacentral:rRNA from 1 species
GGAGUAACGCGUGAGCAACCUGCCUAUGACAGUGGGAUAGCCUCGGAAACCGGGAUUAAUACCGCAUAAAAUCGUAGAAACACAUGUUUCAACGGUCAAAGAUUUAUCGGUCAUAGAUGGGCUCGCGUCUGAUUAGCUAGUUGGUGAGAUAACAGCCCACCAAGGCGACGAUCAGUAGCCGGUCUGAGAGGAUGAACGGCCACAUUGGAACUGAGACACGGUCCAAACUCCUACGGGAGGCAGCAGCG